rnacentral:lncRNA from 1 species
UGUAAUUCUGAUAGGCCUUCCUUUAUAUGUUACUUGACCUUUCUCCCUUACUGCUUUUAAUAUUCUAUCUUUAUUUAGUGCAUUUGUUGUUCUGAUUAUUAUGUGUCGGGAGGAAUUUCUUUUCUGGUCCAGUCUAUUUGGAGUUCUGUAUGCUUCUUGUAUGAUCAUGGGCAUCUCUUUUUUUAUGUUUGGGAAGUUUUCUUCUAUUAUUUUGUUGAAGAUAUUAGCUGGCCCUUUAAGUUGAAAAUCUUCAUUCUCAUCAAUUCCUAUUAUCCGUAGGUUUGGUCUUCUCAUUGUGUCCUGGAUUACCUGGAUGUUUUGAGUUAGGAUCCUUUUGCAUUUUGUAUUUUCUUUGACUGUUGUGUCGAUGUUCUCUAUGGAAUCUUCUGCACCUGAGAUUCUCUCUUCCAUUUCUUGUAUUCUGUUGCUGAUGCUCGCAUCUAUGGUUCCAGAUCUCUUUCCUAGGGUUUCUAUCUCCAGCGUUGCCUCGCUUUGGGUUUUCUUUAUUGUGUCUACUUCCCCUUUUAGUUCUAGUAUGGUUUUGUUCAUUUCCAUCACCUGUUUGGCUGUGUUUUCCUGCUUUUCUUUAAGAGCUUGUAACUUUAGCAGUGCUCUCCUGUAAAUCUUUAAGUGACUUAUGAAAGUCCUUCUUGAUGUCCUCUAUCAUCAUCAUGAGAAAUGUUUUUAAAUCUGGGUCUAGAUUUUCGGUUGUGUUGGGGUGCCCAGGACUAGGUGGGGUGGGAGUGCUGCGUUCUGAUGAUGGUGAGUGGUCUUGAUUUCUGUUAGUAGGAUUCUUACGUUUGCCUUUCGCCAUCUGGUAAUCUCUGAAGCUAGCUGUUUUAGUUGUCACUGUUAAGAGCUUGUUCUUCAGGUGACUCUGUUAGCCUCUAUGAGCAGACCUGGAGGGUAGCACUCUCCUUAGUUUCAGUGGGCAGAGUAUUCUCUGCAGGCAAGCUCUCUUCUUGCAAGGCAGGUACCCAGAUAUCUGGUGUUCGAACCAGACUCCUGGCAGAAGUUGUGUUCCACUCACUAGAGGUCUUAGGAUCACGUGUGGAAUCCUGUGUGGGCCCUUGCGGGUGUCAGGCGACUCAGCUGGCAAGGUAGCCGGGGCUCGAGUGGAGUGGAAGGGGUUUGUGCCCCAGAUCAAGCCCGGGUAGCCUGCUUCCCUAUGUACCGCAGUCUCAAGUUCCACGCGAUUGGAUUGGGGUAGGCGCUGUGUUCCACUCAUCAGAGGUCUUAGGGUCCCGUGGGGAGUCCCGUGUGGACCCUUGCGGGUGUUGGGCAAGACUCUGCUGGCAAGGUAGCCCGGGGCUCGAGUCUCGAGUCGAGCGGAAGGGACUUGUGCCCCAGAUCAGGCCUGGGUAGCCUGCUUCCCUAUGUACCGCAGUCUCAAGUUCCGCGCGAUUGGAUUGGGGCAGGCACUGUGGUCCACUCACCAGAGGUCUUAGGGUCCCGUGGGGAGUCCCGUGUGGACCCUUGCGGGUGUUGGGCAAGACUCUGCUGGCAAGGUAGCCCGGGGCUCGAGUCUCGAGUCGAGCGGAAGGGACUUGUGCCCCAGAUCAGGCCCGGGUAGCCUGCUUCCCUAUGUACCGCAGUCUCAAGUUCCGCGCGAUUGGAUUGGGGCAGGCACUGUGAUCCACUCACCAGAGGUCUUAGGGUCCCGUGGGGAGUCCCGUGUGGGCCCUUGCGGGUGUUGGGCAAGACUCUGCUGGCAAGGUAGCCCGGGGCUCGAGUCUCGAGUCGAGCGGAAGGGCGAUAAUUUGACUAAUUUUCUUUCUUUUUUUUUAAUUUUAAAUAUACCAUUCCAUCAUGUAAGGCCACUCAUCCUCCUUGUAGUUGUUCUAUAUGUGAUGCCUUACUGCUUUCUGCUUCUAUUGGCCUUGGUCUGGUUUAGAAUUUUAAGAGCUCAUGAUAUACGGUUGGUUACCUGGGAAUGUAGUGGCUUCAGUUAGUUAGAGGGACACCAAGGCCAUUAUGCCUUCAGUUGCUUAGGACUGCUGUUGCUGGCUUUUAGAACCUCAGUUACACAUGUUGGCCUUCUUCAUGCUGUCUGCCCAUCCUUUUUUCUUCUUUCUAACUAGCCUGGAUAAAGAAAGUCUUGUUUUUGAAAUGAAUGAGGGUAUGAGACUAGCUUUGAAUAUAUUGGGCACUUUUCUUCUUAAGAUGACCCUGGAGUGGUCAAAUGGAAAAUAAUUUGACAUCUUACCUCCCAUCUUAGGCAGAUUCUUUUUAAAACACAGUACAGUACCAAGACUAACAAGAUCCUGUGACGUGGUUAUAAUAUAUUUUAACUGUUUCUGAUUUGUUCUUUUACAUAUUUUGAUAUUCACUCACAUAAAACGUUACCAAUUAUUUUCAGUGUUUAUUCUAAACCAGGUUUAAAAAGCAAAAAGUGCAAACUUUCUUGCCCCCAUUUUACGUUCCUGACUUUCUCAGUCCCCAUGUUGAUCUAUGCUACACUAUGGCUGUUUGCUGAUUUCAGAGGUCCCACGAUUGAAAUGAAGAUGAAAAGUCCCCAUUCAAAGAUGCCAUUCUCUUUUCUUGCCUUUUCUCUGCUUCAGAAUGGCUGUCUGGUCAGCAAGCCCCAGGGAUAUGCCUGUCUCACCUUUUCAGCCCCUUAGAUCAUAUUCUUGAGGCAUGGAAUGUGUGUGUGUGUGUGUGUGUGUGUGUGUGUGUGUGUGUGCACAAAAUCUCUGCUAAGUAAAGUUAAAGUCUACCAGUGACCAGUAAGCCUCUGGCCUUUGUGCAAUAUGGAGGGCUUUUGCUUCUCUGACCUCGUCUGGGGAAUUCAAAACCCUCUACCUGUGCAACGUCACAUAGCUUUAGUUAGAUUAACUUCUUUUCUCCUGAUAAGAACACAUUCAGCUAGCACCUGAGAUUCCUAAAAUGCUUCUCCAAUACUAAUAAGGCAUUUUGGUACCCUAAGCCUUCAGCCAAUGACCUUUGCCCAUCCUGGAUGUUCCUACUCCUAGUCCCCCAAAUUAUAUAAGCCUUUGAAGUACUUACUCAACAGAGCUUCCAAACUGCCCCACGCCCCCUUAGUCAUCUCUGGUCUCUUUCCAGUGCCCUCAUGGACCCUAUGGGCUGACAAUCCCCAAGGGUAGAGAGCCACAAAUGUAUACUGUAAAACAACAAUAAAUUUAAAGAGAAAAGCAGUCCCUAAGAACAAGAAAUG